CGGAAGUAGCUCAGUUGGUAGAGCAUCAGCUUCCCAAGCUGAGGGUCGCGGGUUCGAGUCCCGUUUUCC
rnacentral:tRNA from 1 species